rnacentral:rRNA from 1 species
CGGCGGACGGGUGAGUAAUGCCUAGGAAUCUGCCUGGUAGCGGGGGACAACGUUUCGAAAGGAACGCUAAUACCGCAUACGUCCUACGGGAGAAAGCAGGGGACCUUCGGGCCUUGCGCUAUCAGAUGAGCCUAGGUCGGAUUAGCUAGUUGGUGAGGUAAUGGCUCACCAAGGCGACGAUCCGUAACUGGUCUGAGAGGAUGAUCAGUCACACUGGAACUGAGACACGGUCCAGACUCCUACGGGAGGCAGCAGCC